AAGGAUGACCAGAUUAUUAACUGUCUGCAUGAAUUCCGGUCAUCUGUGACAUAUUUGACCAAGGAUUUUGAACAGCUAGUCAACAUUUUGCUGAAGGUGUCAUGGCUAAGAAAAAGCCAAGCAGUAGUGGAAGAGUAUUUGGCUUUCCUGAGCAAUUUAGUGUCUGCGCAAACCAUUUACUUGAGGCCAUGUCUUGCGAUGAUUGUCUCACACUUCAUACCACCUCGGAUAACCAUACGAGAAAAUAAUGUGGAGAUCUCUGAUUCAGAUGAUGAUGAAAGUG